rnacentral:lncRNA from 1 species
GAGGAACAAAGCAAGACUCAGAAUAAAGGCUCGGUUUUUAAAACAAGAAAAACACGGAAACAAUUCGCAUAAACAUUACAACAUUUAACAUUAAAGCAUCAAGCAGAAUUACAGUGUAAAUCUAAACUAGCGACUCAGAACAGCUAACACAGGACAGAAACUCUAUGGCUCGGCGAAACAAUACGAAGGAAUCUAAACAAACUCAACACGAAGCAAGCAACAUCGAUUUAAUAACAGGUGACUCGAAAUUUAACCGAACUCGACUAAAACUCAAUACAAUACCCAGCAAAGCUCAAAGACUACAACUCGGUUGACUCGGUGCAUGACUCGGUACACAACUCCCUGCACAAUCAACAAUCUCAGCUUAAACUAAACCCCUGAACUCGGCAGAAACGCAACAAAUCACAGCAAAGACGCAAGAAACAGAGUAACGGACUCGAACCCAGUACAAAGAAACUCAGUAUUAUGCAGCAGACUUGGUGAAGAAGAAGACGCAACUCUCUAACUCGGAAACGACUCAGGCUAUAACUCGGAAACGACUCAGGCUAUAACUCGGAAACAAAACAAACCCAGCAAGAAAUCAACUCGCCUCAGCAAAGAACACGAACACAGACUUCGAACAAAGACAACUCAGUACCAAUAAAUCGCAGCAAACCCAGGACUAACUCGGUAACAGUCAAAACGACACCCUACACAAGAAGACUCGGAAUAAAUGAAAGAAAACAGCAACGCAGCAGUACAGGGGGUUUUGUUUUGAGAACAGGAGAGCAGAGUAUAUAUAAAAACAGAAACAGAGGGCUUGAGUUUGGUGACUUGAAAACAAAUGCAUACAGAUUAUUAAGUUGGUAAUUGUUUAUAAUAUAAAGUGAACUACCAAAAUUAACGUUACUAUAACUUUUAGAAAUCUGAAAAUUUAAAACCCUAACACAAAUUAAUUUUGUGCUAGGAUUUACUUGACUAUUUCAAGAGAUCACAAGUCUACACUAAUCACAAACUCAAUGAUUCUUCAUUUCCCAAAAGCUUAAAAGCAUGUGGUGGUACUUAGAA